UACGUAGGGGGCAAGCGUUGUCCGGAUUUAUUGGGCGUAAAGAGCGUGUAGGCGGCCAUACAGGUCCGUUGUGAAAACUGGAGGCUUAACCUCCAGACGUCGAUGGAAACCGUAUGGCUAGAGUCCGGAAGAGGAGAGUGGAAUUCCUGGUGUAGCAGUGAAAUGCGUAGAUAUUGGGAAGAACACCGAUGGCGAAGGCAGCCAUCUGGACCGACACUGACGCUGAGGCGCGAAAGCGUGGGGAGCAAACAGG
rnacentral:rRNA from 1 species